GUAGGUGAACCUGCGGAAGGAUCAUUAUUGAAUAAAUCUAAUAGGUUGUAGCUGGCUCUUUUGGAGCAUGUGCACGCCUGUUAUUUUAUCUUCUCCACCUGUGCACUAUUUGUAGACUUGGAUAUUUCUCGAGGAAACUCGGUUAGGAUCUGCUGUGCUCCAAAAGGCCAGCUUGUCUUUAUAUUUCCAGUCUAUGUUUUAUAUACACCAUAUCUAUGUUAUUGAAUGUUCAAUUGGCUUUAUAAGCCUAUAAACAUAAAUACAACUUUCAGCAACGGAUCUCUUGGCUCUC
rnacentral:misc_RNA from 1 species